UCGUGACUAUACUUAGUCGUAAAUGGGUGGCGUAGGUAGACUGUGUAUGUCGGGCGUGAAAUACCACUGCUCAUCGGUCGGAACGCCGCCCGUAAGCUGCUGGGCUAGAGUGCAGGAGACGAGAGCGGAAUUCUUGGUGUAGCAGUGGAAUGCGUUGAUAUCAAGAGGAACAACCAGUGGCGUAGGCGGCUCUGUGGAAUGUAACUGACAGUGAUGCACGAAAGCGUGGGGAGCAAACACGAUUAGAUACCCUGGUAGUCCACGCCAUAAUCGGUGCACACUUGGUGUAGGAGGAAUUGACCUCUCCUGUGCGGGAGCUAACGCGCUAAGUGUGCCGCAUGGGGAGUACGGUCGCAAGAUUAAAACUCAAAGAAAUAGACGGGGGCCCGCACACGCGGAGGAGCACGUGGCUUAAUUUGAUGCAACGCGAAGAACCUUACCAGGGUUUGACAUGCAGCUGCACGUCCCAUGAAAGUGGGAUUCCUUCGAGGGUGCUGCACAGGUGCUGCAUGGCUGUCGUCAGUUCGUGCCGUGAGGUGUUGGGUUAAGUCCCGCAACGAACGCAACCCUUGUAUUUAGUUGCCACCGCCGGAGCAAUCCGGCGCGCACUCUAAAUAGACUGCCCGUGAUAAGCGGGAGGAAGGUGGGGAUGACGUCAAGUCAGUAUGGCCUUUAUACCCUGGGCUGCACACGUGCUACAAUGGUCGGUACAGAGGGACGCAAGAACGGGAGGGGGAGCCAAUCCCAGAAAACCGGCCCCAGUUCGGAUUGAUGGCUGCAACUCGCCAUCAUGAAGUUGGAUUCGCUAGUAAUGGCGCAUCAGC
rnacentral:rRNA from 1 species